CGUCUAUAUACGUAUAGCAUAUCAAUAAGCGGAGGAAAAGAAACUAACAAGGAUUCCCUUAGUAACGGCGAGUGAAGCGGGAAGAGCUCAAAUUUGAAAUCUUCAAGGUUCUACCUUGACGAAUUGUAGUUUAAAGAAGUGUUUUCUGUUAGAGGAGUAGCAAAAGUUCCUUGGAAUAGGACAUCAUAGAGGGUGAGAAUCCCGUAUUUGACCAUUAUUUUCUAGCUGUGUGAUACACUUUCAAAGAGUCGGAUUGUUUGGGAAUGCAGUCCAAAAUGGGUGGUAAAUUUCAUCUAAAGCUAAAUAUUGGCGAGAGACCGAUAGCGAACAAGUACCGUGAGGGAAAGAUGAAAAGAACUUUGAAAAGAGAGUUAAACAGUACGUGAAAUUGUCAAAAGGGAAGCGUUUGACACCAGUGUUGUUUUUCCGAAAAUCAAUUAAGAGUGGCUUGAUUUUGUGUUGUAUUGACCUUAUCAGCUUUCUUCACUCUUUUUCGAGUCUUUCUUAAUGCACUUUUCGGUUAACAAGUCAACAUCAAUUUCUUUUGUUGUAAAAGGGUAUUUGGAAGGUGGCUUUCUUUUCGGAGAAAGUGUUUAUAGCCUUAUGACCUCUGCAAUCGGAGAGACUUGAGGUCUGCAGCGUAGAUCCUUCGGGGCUAGAUACACUUGUGCUAAGUUAUAGCUUUUCAUAGACAACUUGUUGACUAUGUUUAGUCAUGUAGCUUACCCGCUUGUGCUAUUUUACCUACGCUUAGGAUGUUGAGUCAUCACACAUCUCU
rnacentral:rRNA from 1 species